rnacentral:tRNA from 1 species
GGCGAUGUAGCUCAGGUGGUUAGAGCGCGCGGCUCAUAAUCGCGUUGUCCGGGGUUCGAAUCCCUGCAUCGCCA